rnacentral:tRNA from 1 species
ACACAGUUGAGCCUCGGGGGUCCGGGGUGCAGGCUUCAAACCUGUAGCUGGCUAGCGCCAGAGUGGUUCGACUCCACCUACUGG